GACCACAGUCUAUGGUGAAGACCUAAGAUAAUCACAAGAUGGCGCACUUUACAAAGUUCAUGUUAAAAGGGAUACUGUUCUCCAUAUCAAACCACCCAACUACUUCUGCGAGUGAAGGUCCUGUAUUGAGCCUGAGUAACAAAGACCUUCAUUCUGCCUGACACUGGAGACGUUGUCCUGGCCAGAGCGAGGUCUGUGUCCUGGGACAGAGUGAUGCCAGCCAGCAAGAGAUGAUCCAUGCUUCCUGGCAUAGCCCAGGUGCAAUUGCGAGCAGUGAUGACACACAGUUCUGACCAGCCUGAAUCACACCAGAACCUCGGGCCAGACCACUUUUGCUCAGUCAGUGCCGGAUGUGUAAAACAGGUUACCCAAAGCUGACAGCCUUCCCAAGCUGAACAGAAGCUGUCUCGUGCUUAAAGUCCAGGUAAAGUAAAAUCAGAGAUUUGUCUCUAAAUACAUUACACGUGAGAAAAUAAUUGCUGAAAACAUGUGAAAAG